AAUAACAUGGUGUAAUUGCAUGUUAUCUUUUGGUGAUAGAGGUGAAUAGUUUUCUGUUAUUU
rnacentral:tRNA from 1 species